CAUACACAAUGCUGUAUUUAGAACAGAUAACCAACAAGGACCUACUGUAUAGCACAUGGAACUCCGCUCAGGACUCUUUAAUAAGCCAGCUAGGAAAAUUUGAAAUAGACAUGUGUGUAUGUAUAACUGAACUACUCUGCUGUGUACCUGAAACACAGCACUGUUAAUCAGCUGUCCCCCAACUAAAAAAAAGCAGCAAAUUGGAUUAAAAGACAAAGAGUCUACAAGAGACCCACCUCAGUGCAAGGGAGACACGCAGAUUGGAAGUGAGAGGAGGGACAGAGAAAGACAGUUCCUGCAAACAACAAUGACAAGACAGCGGGGACUCCAAUACUUGGAGCCAGAUAAGCAGGCUUCAAAACCAAGGACAUAGAGAAAGUUAGAGAAGGAGACCAUACAAUGAUGAAAGGAUCAAUGCAAGAAGAGGAGUGUACACUCAUCAACAUAGAUGCAUCUAAUACUGGAGCACCCAAAUACAUAAAGGGAGAAAUUUACAGGAAUACAAUAAUAGUAGAGACUUUGACACCACACUCACAUCAAUGGACAGAUCUUCUGUCUAGACAGCAAAGCAACAAGGCAACAGAGACCCUAAAUGAUACAAUAGAACAAUUAAACAUAAUUGAUAUUUUCAGGACAUUACAUCCAGAAAAACUGCAGAAUGCACAAGAGUCAGAAAUAAACCUGACUAAGGAUGUGAAAGACUUACAUGCUGAGAAGUAUAAAACAUUAGUAAAGGAAACUGAAGAUGAGUCAACAAAAUGCCAGAGCAGAAAGGAUACAACUUAAUAUCCUAAAUAUCAUAAUUUGAGUCUGGGAACACCACCAACUUGUCCCUCUCGGAACCCAGCGGAAGGCGAAACUGGAGAUGACGUGAAGUCACGCAGCAGCUGAAAGAGCAGGAGGAACGGAUUCCACAUGCGAGGAGCCGGAGGGGCUGAAGCGACGCUGAACGGCGUGGACCCGACACUGCCUUACUGUAUGCUACAUUCUGGGGGGAAUGUAAGUACAGUGAAGGAGAAGACCACUGUGGGGUGAAGGUUAAGAAAGGAAUGGAAACGAGAGAGACAAGAACCUGAGCCGGAACGGAGAGCAGCACAGGGACAGGCCAUGGAGAUCCCC